AUAAAAAACAAGAUGAAUAUAUCAAGAGUAAGUAAUGAUAUAAUUUGUUGGUCUUCAUUGCACUUUGAAGAUGCAACUGCCUAAAGUCUUCUCAAGUAGAAGAGCUUACGUCAUAAUUUGUGCUAGCGGGGGCCUGCGUUCGCGCGGCCCCUCU